UACAGAGGUCUCAAGCGUUGUUCGGAUUCAUUGGGCGUAAAGGGUGCGUAGGCGGCGCGGUAAGUCGGGUGUGAAAUCUCGGGGCUUAAUUCCGAAACUGCAUUCGAUACUGCCGUGCUUGAGGACUGGAGAGGAGACUGGAAUUUACGGUGAGCGGUGAAAUGCGUAGAUAUCGAUAAGGAAGACCAGUGGCGAAGGCGGGUCUCUGGACAGUUCCUGACGCUGAGGCACGAAGGCCAGGGGAGCAAACGGG
rnacentral:rRNA from 1 species